rnacentral:rRNA from 1 species
CGCGUAGGCGGCUUGGCAAGUCAGAUGUGAAAGCCCCAGGCUUAACUUGGGAAUUGCAUCUGAAACUGCUUUGCUUGAGUCCUGGAGGGGAUAGUGGAAUUCCCAGUGUAGCGGUGAAAUGCGUAGAUAUUGGGAGGAACACCUGCGGCGAAGGCGGCUAUCUGGACAGUGACUGACGCUGAGGCGCGAAAGCUAGGGGAGCGAACGGGAUUAGAUACCCCGGUAGUCCUAGCCGUAAACGAUGGGCACUUGGUGUUGGGGGUAUUGAGUCCCUCGGUGCCGGAGUUAACACGUUAAGUGCCCCGCCUGGGGAGUACGGUCGCAAGACUGAA